AGAAAGCUUCAUUAGAAAAAGUCACGAGAAGAGGUUAUUGUUUAUUGAAUUACACUAUUUGCCUGUCGAGCGGAACUCCUGAGCUGAACGAAGUACACCGCUUUCAAGCUCUGCGUCUCGUAAUAUUUCACUACAAAGCACUGUUGCACACCAUGACCGAGAGAGUUUAUAAAAUUGCUGUUCUUGGGAACGAAGGAGUCGGUAAAACAGCACUGUUGGUACGUUUCCUGUGUCAUCGAUUUAUUGGGGAAUAUGAUCCUACAAUUGAGGAUUGUUAUCAGCGUAAAAUAACAGUGGAUGGCGAGGAAGUCACCAUUGAUGUGCUAGACACAGCUUACAGGAACACGCCAUCGAAGCUUGUGGAGAAUUUUCUCCACGUGGGAGAUGGUUUCAUCAUUGUCUACUCCAUGACAGACAGGAAGAGUUACAUCACAAUCCCGCGGUACAAAGAAAUGAUUGAAGAAUCACGUGACUGUACUAUUCAGGGCCCAGCUUCGAUAGUACUCAUCGGGAACAAAACUGACCUGGAAGAACAUCGCACAGUUGCGAAGCGGGAAGGACAGACAUUGGCCAAAAGAUACGGGUGGUUAUUCGGCGAAGCUUCAGCUGCAGAAUACGAUGGCGUGGAUGUCUGUUUUUACGAUGUAAUCCGUGAAAUGCGAGCGCGCAGGUGUAAGAUGAAUCCUUCUGCGCUUCUCCUGCAUCUGAACGAUCUACGUCAGUCCAGUUGCAGUGAUACGGACAGUCAAACAGACGAAAGUGCGUCGGAAAGCAAGAAAAAACGUUUUGUCAAAAAGAAAUUGAGCGAUUCUAGUCGUCAAUACAAACUGAAAUUGUUUGGUUCGUGGCAUCAUGUGCAUUCAAAGUGAAAGAGAACUUAAGUUUGGUUAGAUACUUGUAAAGGAAAUCCAAGGCUCUCUGAUUCGUAAUAAACAAUUGGAGAGUUUGAAAGUGAAGAAUAAAAACACACCGGUUAGCUACUUUCUUGAUGAACACUCUCUUCAACUGAAUUUAAUUUGACUGCUUUAUGUUCACUUUUCUCCGUGCUUACUAGAGGAAUAAAUUAAGUCCUGCCGUAAAUGAGAAUCUUCUUAUCAAUUUUAUCACUUGAAUUGGCCAUUUCUGAAUUACCUUUGGCCUCUUCUUCAAAGCGAGUCCUGGUGAUCAUCCUUCUUAACGAUUGUAAGUUUUUCAUUCACAUGCAAAUUAAAUCAUUUACAUACAA
rnacentral:misc_RNA from 1 species